rnacentral:rRNA from 1 species
AAUAGAUACCCCGGUAGUCCACGCCGUAAACGAUGAGUGCUAAGUGUUAGGGGGUUUCCACCCCUUAGUGCUGCAGCUAACGCAUUAAACACUCCGCCUGGGGAGUACGGUCGCAAGACUGAAACUCAAAGGAAUUGACGGGGGCCCGCACAAGCGGUGGGGGCAUGUGGUUUAAUUCGAAGCAACGCGAAGAACCUUACCAGGUCUUGACAUCCCGGUGACCGCUCUAGAGAUAGAGCUUUCCCUUCGGGGACAGCGGUGACUGGUGGUGCAUGGUUGUCGUCAGCUCGUGUCGUGAGAUGUUGGGUUAAGUCCCGCAACGAGCGCAACCCUUGUUCUUAGUUGCCAUCAUUCAGUUGGGCACUCUAAGGGAGACUGCCGCAGACAAUGCGGAAGGAAGGUGGGGAUGACGUCAAAUCAUCAUGCCCCCUUAUGACCUGGGCUACACACGUGCUACAAUGGACGGUACAAACGGUUGCUAAGUCGCGAGACGGAGCUAAUCCGAGAAAACCGUUCUCAGUUCGGAUUGCAGGCUGC